AUGGAAACUCUGGCUUGGUUUCUCUGUCUCCUUCUGCUGUGGAUCACAGUCUCAGAUAUCACUGGAGAAACAACACAGUCUCCAGCCUGCCUGAGUUUUUCUCUGUGUGAAACAGCAACUGUGACAUGCAGGGCCAGUGAGAGUGUUGGCAGCUACUUAGCCUGGUAUCAGCAGAAAACAGGGCAGCUUCCUUGGCUCCUUAUCUACAGUGACUCCACCAGGGCCAGUGGUGUCCCAGCUCGGUUCAGUGGCAGUGGGUCUGGGAUAGACUUCACUCUCACCAUCAGCAGCCUAGAAUCUGAAGAUGUUGCACUUUACUACCGUCAGCCUUACAAGAAUUGGUCAUACACAGCAAUUCAACAUGUGAUGAAAACCUCCAGGAGACCACAGUGUGUUUGGUUGUACCAGUUACUUCCUUUGUAG